UUUUUUUUUUUUUUUUUUUGUCAAUUGCUCUAUGAUUGUUGGCUUACAAAUGAUUGUUAUUUUAUAAUAUUUUAAUAUUUUAGUGCUUUGGACUAUUUCUUGUUAAUCCACUUUGUUUCCUUUUUAUAUGCUUAUGCUUUACGUUCUCGAAAUUUUGUGUUUCAUUAGUAAUUUUCACUUAAAAAGUUAAUUCAUAACUACUAGUGUAAAAAAAUUAUUAUAUUGUCACUAUAUAAAAUAUUAAUCCAAAAUUAAAUGUUCCAAAACGAGUUCAAGACACGAUACUGACACAUUACCAAACAAACAGGUUAGAUAAGAACAUGACAUAAAAUUUAAAUGUGUAAUUUAUGAGUUUAUAUAGAUUUUGAUAUGAACAAAAAAAUAACACAGCACAAAAGUGACACAACACGACAUGUUUAUCACCCUACAGCCAUUAAUCCAACAAAGUAAUAAUUCAUUGGAUUGCUAUAAUGUAAUCUCAAAUUGCUAAAAUAGAUGCAUCAUUAACCUUAUCAAAUCGUAUUCUCACUAAAAUAAAAUCAAUUUAAAAAUAAAAAAAAAACAGACCAUAAAAAAAAUUACCACGCUCCUAACUAAAAUGUAUUAUACAUUAAUAAUAAUCACGAAAAAAAAAAAGAAACAAAAAAGCGACAAUAUCAGGGCCCUCCACAGGCAAAGGGUGACCUCACAAAACUUUCAGAGAAGAUGACGCACGAGACUAACAGUACGAACACUGAUUCCUGAAUUUUGGGUUCCUGCUUUUAGUUCAUGACGCUGAGGUUGCACAUAAACUGUUUGUACAAGUUCAAAAAGAAACGAAACUAGAAUACAGCAAAAAGAACACAUUCAGUAACGCAAGAUAAUUCAUCGUAGAUGAACAGUACGAACAGUUUACCCAAGGUAAUGGAUUAUACUUUUUAAGUCGUACAAUUUUGGUAGCGAGUUACCGAACAUUCCAAGGCAAACAGAAGUUGUCAAUACCUUAAUAGGCUUUGAAGCUCAUUCAAGUUGGAGACAGUAGAAUUGAGUAAUUGUUAACAUUGCUUUUGAACUUUCGCGGAUACAGCAGAAAACUGCACUUGGAACACCCAUUUGUCUAAUCAUGGCGAGCAGUUUUAACAGAGCCUACACAAU
rnacentral:lncRNA from 1 species